CGUCUAAACCCUAUGGGCAACAUAGCAAAGAGCUGAGAGGCCUACAGAUAACCUCUCACGGUCUGACCCCUUAACCAGAAGCACUGCUGUCUGUUUUACUCCACGUGUAUGGAUUUGUUUUCCUUCUAAGUCUUCUCAACCCUGUGAUUAGGGAAGUGGGUCAUUUAUAAUGCGCUGUUUAUUUACAAAUGAUCAGACAGUACCCUGAGAGGUGGAAAGGCUAAGAAACAGAUCGUCACAAAAGUCUCUUAGGCCUGGAACAAACUGGGCCUUGAGAAUGAUGAGAACAAAAAAAAACAGACUGCAGUUUCCGAGAACCAUGCUGAGGUGAAGCCCAGGGUUAGAAACACUAAGCAUUGCAGUAAGCAACGGCGACAUACCACCGGGUGAGGAAAAAGUGGUGUUGGAUGAGCAGGGUUAGAAGGAAGUACACCACUCCUUCUAUUGCCAUAGCAACCAGGUUCUUCCCAAUCAAGUCCCACUGGAAUGGGUCUGCAGAGUACUCCUCACCUGAGAGUAGAAGCAACAGGACAUCAGCAAGAAAAAAGUCUGCACCAGGCUGUCAGGCUCACUCAUGAAGACCCGACUGUGACCCAUGUGCCCAGGCCUUAUGUGAGAGGCUAAAUGAGACCCCAAGUCAACCUCCCUGGGUCAGAAUACAGAAAGAAAACGUUACAAACUGGAAUAGAGUGGAGUCUCGAGAAGAGAGAUGGGUGACCCAAAAUGGGACAAAGGUGAUGGCGCUGCUGUUGAUGCCGAUGAACAGGUUAGCACAAGACAAAGCCACAUAGGCUGUGCUGGGGACUUCAAACAGGAAGGAUGCUGGAUACAUCAUAGGGAUGACUGCCCACCUGUGUGAGACGACACAGCUCAGAGGGAGAGAGUUCCAGGUUCCAUCCCAUCAAUCAUACCUCUCAAUAUGAGGGGACAUGUUUGGACUGGCCAGGGUCCCAGGGAAGGAGAGAAGACACUCCAUUCCUUGAUCUCUGUGCCAUAUCUUCCAAACAAAUUUAUGAUACCUGCCCUAAA